rnacentral:rRNA from 1 species
GACGAACGCUGGCGGCGUGCCUAAUACAUGCAAGUCGAGCGAAGUUUUUCUGGUGCUUGCACUAGAAAAACUUAGCGGCGAACGGGUGAGUAACACGUAAAGAACCUGCCUCAUAGACUGGGACAACUAUUGGAAACGAUAGCUAAUACCGGAUAACAGUAUUUCUCGCAUGAGAGAUAUUUAAAAGUUGGUUAUGCUAACACUAUGAGAUGGCUUUGCGGUGCAUUAGCUAGUUGGUGGGGUAAAGGCCCACCAAGGCGACGAUGCAUAGCCGACCUGAGAGGGUGAUCGGCCACACUGGGACUGAGACACGGCCCAGACUCCUACGGGAGGCAGCAGUAGGGAAUCUUCCGCAAUGGGCGAAAGCCUGACGGAGCAACGCCGCGUGAGUGAGGAAGGAUUUCGGUUCGUAAAGCUCUGUUGUUAGGGAAGAAUGGAUAUGUAGUAACUAUACAUGUAAGAGACGGUACCUAACCAGAAAGCCACGGCUAACUACGUG